GAUGAACGCUGGCGGCGUGCCUAAUACAUGCAAGUCGAGCGAACGGACGAGAAGCUUGCUUCUCUGAUGUUAGCGGCGGACGGGUGAGUAACACGUGGAUAACCUACCUAUAAGACUGGGAUAACUUCGGGAAGCCGGAGCUAAUACCGGAUAAUAUUUUGAACCGCAUGGUUCAAAAGUGAAAGACGGUCUUGCUGUCACUUAUAGAUGGAUCCGCGCUGCAUUAGCUAGUUGGUAAGGUAACGGCUUACCAAGGCAACGAUGCAUAGCCGACCUGAGAGGGUGAUCGGCCACACUGGAACUGAGACACGGUCCAGACUCCUACGGGAGGCAGCAGUAGGGAAUCUUCCGCAAUGGGCGAAAGCCUGACGGAGCAACGCCGCGUGAGUGAUGAAGGUCUUCGGAUCGUAAAACUCUGUUAUUAGGGAAGAACAUAUGUGUAAGUAACAGUGCACAUCUUGACGGUACCUAAUCAGAAAGCCACGGCUAACUACGUG
rnacentral:rRNA from 1 species